ACAGUCAGUAUGGCCAGUGCUGCCAUCAAAGUCACCUCCGCCGCCCAGCAACAAUGCCCUCCUCAACCAGGUGACAGCUGCGUUCCAGCAGGGUCAGCAGAUAGCUGUGAGACAGACUCCUGUACGGAUUCAAGCCUCAGGCUCCUCUACUCCCCUAGUGGCAGUAGCUGUCACUCAGGCCCCCACCCUGCUUACUCUCUCCCACCCUCAACCUGAACAAUAGCCAGAACCAGUAAAACGGAUAGAGGACAUCUGGACCAUUUUUGCACUGAAAUCAUGUCUUCUUUGAAUAAGUUUUAUUGUAUUCUUUAAGCCCAUACAUAAUUUUCUUCCAAUUUUGAAUAUGCAGCGUUUUCAUCAGUUUAUUGCACUUAGUUUGGUAAAGUAAGAGUUAUGAAAAGUAUGUUACUCAAGUUGUUCCAUUAUUAUAAUUUACGAUAACUCCAACAUUUGUACUUUACUAUGUUGCUACAUUACAUACGCAACAUUGUAAAUAGCAAAAUGUAUAAAAGGCUGAAUAUUAGCUCUCACAGAAACAUAAACUGCAAACCUUGGAAAACUAUUCACAAACUAACUUAGUUGUAAGAAAUUUGGUGGUGAUUCAAAGUGCAUUCAUGAUGACAAACCCAAACCAGGCAGACACUCGGACAAGUUAUUCCUAGACAGCUGGCAGUUGUAUGGCAAUAGUUGAUAUAGUUAUAGUUGUAGAACUGGCCUUUUGAAAGUGUAGCACUAGAAGUGGCUAGUUCUAGGGCUACACAUUCAUAAACACUGAAGAUUGUUAUGCGUCAUUGUGGUUUUCUCAGUUACUCCGAGUAUCUCUUGUCUCUUGUGAGCAAUGUUUGGUUCCUGACACUUUAUUUUGAAAUUAGUUUUUUUUAUAAAUAACGUAACAAUAAUAACGCCUAUUACAUAAUUUUUUACAUGUAUCUUUUACUAAACAGAUUGUGUUUUUCAUGACUGCGUAAAAAUGUAGUUAUGUAAAUGAUUGAAUAGUGUGUGAAAAAACAAGUUGUUUCUAUGUAAUGGUAAAGAUCGUUUUUACAAUACUUUAUGGGCUGAAAUAGUUUUUUAUAUGUAUAUAAAAUAAUUUUUAUCAGUGGUGUUUGAUUUCUAUUUCUGAAUUAUUACAAACUGUAUUGCAAUAACAAGUGAUGAAAUACUUACUUCUGAUAAGUAAUAUGAAAAGUUGUAUGGUUUGCGCUUAAGUAUGAGGCUGAUAAUUGAAAGUAUACUAAAUGUUUUGUAUUCAAGUACCAUAGCUUAUUUUUAAAAUAUGAUUUUCAUUAUUUAUUUACAGAAACAAAAUGUAUUUUACCAGAAAUAAAUAUCAAUAUAGUUAUAUUGAAAAUGGAGUUUGUACACUUAUUAUUGUUAUUUUUAAGUAGGAUAUCGACUAAUUGGGGUGAACGCACUAGUGACCUUGUAUACAGUGAUUCUUAAUUAAUAAAUAUGACAUUUUAAUGUGGCAAGAAUACGAACAAUAAUGUCUUAAACAAUAAGCUAAAUAAUAUAUUUAUAAUAAAAAUUCAACCUAAAUGACAUACAGAGAGGCAAACGUAAUGUAAGGCAGUGAAAUAAAAAACUGUUCAACUGUUUCAUUCUGUAAAAAAUAUGUCACAAACAGAGUAGUCAAUAUUAAAGUUUACUUUAACGCCUUGUGUUUUGGAGUUAAAUAACUUAAAGAAAUAAACUAAAUUAAACUUAUCUUACUUUUGAUAAAAAUGUUUAAACUUUAUGUAAAAAAUAUGUCACAAACAGAGUAGUCAAUAUUAAAGUUUACUUUAACGCCUUGUGUUUGGAGUUAAAUAACUUAAAGAAAUAAACUAAAGUAAACUUAUCUUACUUUUGAUAAAAAUGUUUAAACUUUAUGGUACCAGAAGGAAAAAAUACAACAACAAAAAUGAAAACAGAAACGUAUUUAAAUUCAUCCAACUCUUGGUGGCUUAAGUUCAACAACUGUCAGUUAAUGAGCUUCAACCACAACUAGUUAUGCAACAAAUGUUCAUGCCCAUGUCUCAUUCAUGCAGUGAGAAAUAUUUGUAAAAACGAUAGCACAAGCUUUUAAAAAGCAACAGAUCAAAAUAGAUAAAGAUCAGUCACCCAAAGUGGGUGGAUAUUGUUAAUUUACUUUAGUUUAUGUGUCAGAGGCUUUUGAUAAUGGCCUUGCAAAAAUAUAUACAUAGCAGCAAAAUGAUGUGUGAAACUAUUGAAAAUAGUUAAACUUGAUCUUUGCAACUCAUCAAAAACCCUCAGUUGGGUUAUCUGAGGUUCUUUUAUGUAAAGUUGGGCUGUUUAGUAUAAUUUCUAUAAGCUACAUUUCGUCAUGUUUGUACAGUAAAGUGUUAAAAACUUUGGACUGUUAAUUUUAAUUUUUGUUUAUAAAUUACCUUAUUUUUUCUAUUACAUAAUCAAUUUUGCUUUAUCUUUUGUUUGUCACAUAAUUACUUUCUUACUUGACCUGAAUACAUGCCAACGAUUGGUAUAUUAUGUUUCAGUAAGUGUACUUUUUUGAUCUGUGAAGGGUUUCUUACAUAAUAGUUAAUCUCAAUAUAUCGUUUUUAUGUUUUAAUAUUUCUUGCCUUUCAAUAUUUUAUGUUAGUACUUUUAAUAUAUGACAAAAUCAAUUGUGUGUAUGUUGUUAUAGGUGUUAGUUUUACAGCAUUAGUUAAAUCAACAUGCUGUAGUAUUGGCAUAUCAAUAUAAAAUCAGAAAUUAACAUGCUCUUGCAUUAUAUGUAAUGUAAUUUGUAUAAUUAAAUGUGCAUCCAAAAAGGAAGAUGCUUAUCUUGAGAGUGUUUGAAUGAAAAAUGUCAAAUUAAUAAUGCUGAUAUUUGAUAAUCAUUAAUUUAUAUUUAAUGGACUGACUGUCUUGUGUUAAGACAGAAAAAAUUGGUGAAAAUAAUUAAGUGGGUUUUGUAUUCCCCCCCCUCUUAUUUCUAUAUGUAAAAUUCAAUUUAAAUGAAAAAAUUGGUUCAUUUCUCUGUGGUUGUGUUAAGAUUUGGUCACAUCGAACCUGCUACUGAGUCAUGAAAUGUGAGUGUAUCUCAUUCUCAACCCAAAUGACAACUUCUAGUGUCAAAACAUUUGUUUGUUCUCUAAUAUUUUUUCUACAAAAAUCAUCCAUUAUUGUGUUCAAAAAAGUUAUACCAAUUCAGAUUUUUAUUGAAAUUUAUUUUUGGUCAAAAACAUAAUUGAACAACUAAAGGGAUUUUAUAGACUCUUCCUUAAAUAUGGCAACUUUUUAUUUUUACAAUUCGUAUGGUUGGCAAAAAUUAAGAAUGUUUAUUUCUUGUUGUUUUUGUUACCUUAAUGUAAUAUUAAAAAAAAAAACAUUAUUUUGGAAUAGUCUUUGGCAGAUGCUAGAGAUAAAUCCUACACACGAAAAUGAAAUACACUUCUUAACAAAACCCUACCCACUAGGAAAUAUUUACUAUUUUUCACCAACAAUUUCAAUUGGUUAAUCUGACUUUAUUUGUUCCUUUUAUUAAUGUCCUUUUUCUAAUUCUCUAAUGGUUGUCAUGAUAUAUUGUUGAUAUUUUUACAUACUGUAUGAUCCUAAAACUGAUUUUGGGACGAAGGUUUAUAACAUCUUUAUUUUUUGUAACAACUUUUGAAGUGAUCAUUUACUGUCAUAUAAGUCAGCAUAUUCAUUUAAUGGUUAUAGAGUUUUGUCCUUUUAAAAGUUUUGGAAUAAGGUUUCACUAGUUAAAUUUUGUAGUAUGAUUUGUUUUACCAAGUAAAUGUGUUGUGAACAUUUUUGUAUAUUUUUUUAGUUUUUUAAAUACUAUGUUGUAACUUACUAUAUUGUUCAACAAGUCUUGAUAACAACCUCUCCAAGUGUCUGUAUUUCUCUGUAUUUGCCAGAAUAAAUGUAUAAUUCCUGACAAUACGCCUUUUACGCUUAUAGUGUUUUUUAGUUGCAUAAGUCAUAAUUUUUGUUUAACCAGAUAAAUAUUUUUGUAUAUUGUGUACUUGUAUUAUAAUUGUUUGCUUGUAAAUAUUGCUUCCCAAAGAAGAAAAAAAAGCAGUUACUGUGCAAAGAAUAGUUUGUGUACAUAUGGAAAUUGUUGUCACUGUAUCUUUUUCAGUGUAUUAAAUUUUUUUACUAGUAUUUAAAA
rnacentral:lncRNA from 1 species